rnacentral:miRNA from 13 species
AUCUGGCCUGGGAGCACUCUU